AGAGUUUGAUCCUGGCUCAGGAUGAACGCUAGCUACAGGCUUAACACGUGCAAGUCGAGGGGAAACGACAUCGAAAGCUUGCUUUUGAUGGGCGUCGACCGGCGCACGGGUGAGUAACGCGUAUCCAACCUGCCCACCACUUGGGGAUAACCUUGCGAAAGUAAGACUAAUACCCAAUGAUAUCUCUAGAAGACAUCUGAAAGAGAUUAAAGAUUUAUCGGUGAUGGAUGGGGAUGCGUCUGAUUAGCUUGGUUGGCGGGGUAACGGCCCACCAAGGCGACGAUCAGGUAGGGGUUCUGAGAGGAAGGUCCCCCACAUCGGAACUGAGACACGGUACCAACUCCGUACGGGAGGCA
rnacentral:rRNA from 1 species